AAUUCUGCAGCGCUUCCCAAUUCGUCCAGCAACCAAACCCGCCUCUUCGCUUCCAAUCCCCCAAGUUGAACAGCAAUCGAAGCUCCAGAGAGACCACUCCAUCCAUCCAACCCCGUUUCGGCUGCUCCACUUGGGAGGAGAGGUGAUGCCCUCGAGGAGGAAGUACAACCGCCCCCGCAGCGAUGUGGAGGAGGAGGAGAUCGCCGCCAUCUCCUCCGAUCCGGACGAGUCGGGGUUGGAGGCGGAGCGCGGGGCGGGGGCGGACGACGAUGACGAGGAGUACGUGGAGGAGAGCAGCGACGCGGGUACCGGCGACGGAGCGGAGGAAGGAUGCAGCAGCGACAGCAGCGAGGGCUGUGACGGCGACCGCGGCGGUGGGCGGCCACUUCGGGCCGGGCGGCGCGGCGUGACGGCGCCCGAUAAGGAGAGGAAGUCGCAGAACGUGGAUGCUCUCGUCAGGGGGAAUCUGGUGGUAAGGAGGCAGCCACUUAUUCCACGUAUUCUUUCAGUUUCUGACGCGGCAGCAAUAGCUCGAAAACCAUUCAAGCCUCCGUGCAAAAAUGGAUAUAGUGAGAAUAAUGAGCAGCUUACUCAGCGCCUUUCAGCUCGUAAAAGAUUUGUCCCAUGGGGUUCAAUGCAGACAUUUGCAGUUAUACACAAUCUUCCACAGUCGCCUGCCAUUGCUAGUGAUAAUUCCUUGGAAAAGGAGGAACCUCUUCCACCUGGCAUAGAGUCAUUGAUUUUGUGGCAACGUGACGAAUGUGACAAGGAAAAUAGCAAUUUUGCUGCAAUCGAAGUUGAUCACCUGCUUGUGCGUUACCUCCGGCCCCAUCAAAGGGAAGGAGUUCAAUUUAUGUUUGAUUGUGUCUCUGGGUCGUUGAGUGGUGAUGGCAUUUCUGGUUGCAUUUUAGCUGAUGAUAUGGGAUUGGGGAAGACUUUACAGUCGAUAACUUUACUAUAUACCCUUCUUUGUCAAGGCUUUGAUGGUAAGCCAAUGGUUAAAAGGGCUGUCAUUGUAACCCCCACAAGCCUAGUGAGCAACUGGGAAUCGGAGAUAUUUAAGUGGUUAAAGGGAAAAGUGCAGCUGCUUGCCCUCUGUGAAAGCACUCGUGCUGAUGUUCUUUCCGGAAUAGAAAGUUUCUUAAAACCCUUGAGCCGUCUUCAGGUACUUAUCAUAUCUUAUGAGACCUUCCGUAUGCAUUCUUCAAAAUUUGAAAGACCGGGCAGCUGUGACCUUCUCAUAUGCGAUGAGGCCCAUAGGCUGAAAAAUGAUCAGACACUGACAAAUAAGGCCUUGGCUGCCCUUCCUUGUACACGACGCAUCCUCUUGUCGGGUACCCCAAUGCAGAAUGAUCUUGAAGAAUUCUUUUCAAUGGUAAAUUUCACAAAUCCAGGGGUUCUAGGGGACGCUUCAUAUUUCCGCCGAUAUUAUGAAGCACCUAUCAUUUGUGGAAGAGAGCCUACUGCAAGUGCAGAAGAAAAGAAGUUGGGAUCUGAGAGAUCUGCUGAGCUCAGUGCAAAAGUAAAUCAGUUUAUAUUGAGACGAACAAACGCUCUGUUAUCCAAUCACUUGCCUCCAAAGAUUGUUGAAGUUGUGUGCUGCAAGCUGACUCCUUUGCAGACCACACUGUACAACCACUUCAUACAUUCCAAAAAUGUUAAACGCUUGAUAUCUGAAGAAGCAAAGCAAUCCAAAAUUCUGGCAUAUAUUACUGCUCUUAAGAAAUUAUGCAACCAUCCAAAGCUGAUCUACGACACAGUAAAAAGUAACAGUUCAGAUGGCUCUGGUUUUGAUGAUUGUCUACGCUUUUUCCCACAGGAACUGUUUUCAGGAAGAUCUGGAUCAUGGACCGGUGGAGGAGGAAUGUGGGUAGAACUAUCUGGAAAAAUGCAUGUAUUGGCAAGAUUACUGGGGCACCUCCGUCAGAAAACUGAUGAUCGUAUUGUCCUUGUAUCAAAUUACACUCAGACAUUAGAUCUAUUUGUGCAAUUAUGUCGGGAAAGAAGAUACCCAUAUGUUAGGCUUGAUGGGGCAACAUCCAUUAAUAAAAGGCAAAAGCUGGUGAACCAAUUCAACGACCUAUCUAGAGAUGAGUUUGUCUUUCUACUUAGUAGCAAGGCAGGUGGUUGUGGGCUUAAUUUGGUAGGUGGAAAUCGUUUGGUUCUCUUUGACCCUGAUUGGAACCCUGCCAAUGAUAAGCAGGCUGCUGCUAGAGUAUGGAGAGAUGGACAAAAAAAGAGAGUCUACAUUUAUAGGUUCUUAAGCACAGGAACUAUUGAGGAGAAGGUAUUUCAGCGUCAGAUGUCAAAAGAAGGCCUCCAAAAAGUCAUUCAGCAGGAGCAAACAGACAACAAAAUGCAGGGGAGUUCUCUUUCAACCGAAGACCUGCGUGAUCUUUUUACUUUUCAUGAACAAGUCAGGUCUGAAAUACAUGAAAAUUUGAAGUGUAGCCGCUGUAACAAGGAUGCCAAUUCGCUGUUUGAUGGUAAUGGUUUUGAUUUAGCAGCCACUGAGCAUAAGGCUUCAAUAUCAGGAGCACAAGAUUAUAUUGAUAUAGGUGGAUUUGGAGAGAUAUCUGGAUGCUUGCAGAAAAUGAAUAGUUCACAUCAUCAGAUAGGAAGACCUUCUGAAGAAGAUUUAGGAAGUUGGGGGCAUCAUUCGGGUCCAUCAACCGUACCUGAUGUUAUACUCCAGUCUUCUGCUGGUGAAGAGGUUUCUUUUGUUUUCACCAAUCAGGUUGAUGGCAAACUUGUUCCGAUUGAAUCUAGGGUGCAAUCAGCAACCCAUCAACCAAAUGGAACAGCGGCUACUGGAGAAAAAGAAGUGGGGAAAAUCAUUUCUCCUAUCAAACCUGGGAGGCAAUCCUCACUUGGCAAGAAUUUGAAGAUGAUGGGAUUUAGUUUAAAGAAUUCAUCUUUGAGAUUUCCAUCUAAGUCCAGAACAACAACACCGAACUGCUUGCCAGGGUUGAAGAAAACUAAAAGGCUCCAUACUGCUUCUGAUAUGUCUGAUGAUGAUUUUGUUUGAGUGUCAGAAUUCAAAUGGCCGUAUAUAAUCAUCUAUUGCUUUGCUGCCUGUUGUAUAAAUAUUGUCAUCUGCUUUCUACAGUGUAAAUACUUCAUGCAAGUUGUUACUUGCAGAUCAUUAAGAGGAAGGGCCAGAAGCCUAAUCCUUGUGCAUAUUACCAUAAAAUGUUCUCAGCAGCUGGUCCCGAAUCCACGGCAAGAAAGCUACCGCCGGCCUACACUCCACGCCCCGCAGUUGGACCGUACGGCUUUCUUGUUCCUGGGUAUUCGGUUCAUGAACGAAGCCUCCAAUCCCAUCGUCCUGCAUGUUUUCCAACAGUCCCCCGGUAUGAUUUUGUGUGGCGUGGUGGAUCACCAUGUGUUCAAUGAGGACAGCGACUGUUGUCUACGCCUUGGAGCCUUAUCUCCCCUGCAAUUAUGUAUUGGUGCUUGUACUCCACUGGGAAUGCACAAAAGGUUGGCCUGGUGUAUACUACUCAAUCAUUAGAUGUUGCUCGAUAACACUAAUCAUCCUAUAGUACUACUAGGAGCAAACAAAAUCUAGACACGACGAUAAGAUCGAUUUCGACGCAGGCCCUCAAUAUUAUGAACGUAUGGAAUACCGAUUAUUCUCACUGUCCUAAAAAAUUGGCAAGUUGGUCCUGGUAGACGGUGGUAUACAUGAAACAAGGGUCCUCCAGAUUUUCUGUGCGAUUGGCUGGUCGGACUUUAUAAUCAGGUUACUUGUCAUCGUUUCUUUGUACGUUCUGGUGGUGACUGUUGGUAACUAGAAGCUAGUGCCUCCGUUGUUUUUGAUG